UACGAAGGGGGCUAGCGUUGCUCGGAUUUACUGGGCGUAAAGAGCUCGUAGGUGGUUUGUCGCGUUGUUCGUGAAAACUCACAGCUCAACUGUGGGCGUGCGGGCGAUACGGGCAGACUGGAGUACUGCAGGGGAGACUGGAAUUCCUGGUGUAGCGGUGGAAUGCGCAGAUAUCAGGAGGAACACCGGUGGCGAAGGCGGGUCUCUGGGCAGUAACUGACGCUGAGGAGCGAAAGCGUGGGGAGCGAACAGG
rnacentral:rRNA from 1 species